rnacentral:tRNA from 1 species
GGAAGCGUGCCCGAAAGACAGGGACCUCCUUGAUAGGGAGAACAAUAGGGGUUCAAACCCCCUCGCCUCCU